rnacentral:lncRNA from 1 species
GUCAAAUAAGGGGAGGCAACUCAAAUGCAAGGGCAGAUAAUUCAGAUAGUGUUACUUUUACAAUAGAAUGUGUUAGGAAUUUAUACAUUUUUACAUGUAGCAAGAAAACGAGUCUGGUGACCCCAUUUUUUCUUUUUCUUAUCUGAAAGCAUAAUAUUGGAGCUAUCUUCUCAUAUUUUAUCUCAAAAUUCUAUGGUGUGGUUUGCGUUUUAUGGCGGAAAAAUGGGUUCUCCAUGCAUAAUCUAUACAAAAUCUUGACAAUUUUGCACAACCUGUAGUGUGAAAAUAAGUACGGUGACCCAUUCUUUUUAUUAAUGUUUUUAAACAAGCAGGAUAUGAACUACAUUUUGGCAAAUUAUUAAAAGAUUCUAUGGAUUAUAAUUUAGACACCCCAUCUACCUUAA